AGUACAAAUUCGAACAGCCACCGCAACGAGACUUAUUGUGGUCGUAUUUCCCAUCGCCUUAUCGUAGCCCAAGCGCAGUGGAGGACACCGGGCGCUUCCCUUGUUGUGGUGCACUUAUAGUGUGGUGAGUGAGACUGUGUAAUAAAUCUUUUCACGUUGGAGUGGUACUGUGUAUUUGCUGCGGGUUGCUGUGUGUCUUGUAGACGAAGCCCCGCAUCAUCCAUUUUCUUCCACUGGGCAGAGGACGGAGAGGCUAACGACCUCAGAAACUACUGUUACCAUAUGUAGUGUGCUGUUUGGAGUACGAAGGGACGCAGACUAAGAGCUGCCCGUGACCGUGAGUAAAUAUUGGAAAUAUUCGUGGUGUAAAUUUACCUGUGUCUGUUUUGUCGCAGAGUCAGAGGCGAAAGGGUCCGCCGCCCCCGCGGUCUCUACAAAGGGGCGCCCCUGUCCAGGAUUCGAUCGGCCCACGGGCAUUGGAGAUAGGGCAGCGCUCGACCCGGUGAGGUGGUGUGUGACCUUCGCCCCUCUGCUGACUUACAGAGAAGAACCAUACUUACCCAGAAAGCUGUAAACAGCAGAGCCGCGGCCACCUGUGGAGAGAGAGCAGAACGAGAGUGAAUAAUAGAAGAACAAACUGUGAACGUGAUACCUACCCAGAAAGCUGUAAACAGCAGAGCCGUGGCCUCCUGUGGAGAGAACGGAAAACGAGAAGGAACAUGAGGAGAAUGGACUGUGUGAAGAUACAGUGGUGGUGGAGGAGAGCCUAGAGUGGCCAUUGUUUUAAGUCCCCCGUUUCCCCUUCCCUAUUUAAUAUUUUUAAGUAAUUUAAUAAAGGAUAUUUUAAUUU